UACGUAGGGUGCAAGCGUUGUCCGGAAUUAUUGGGCGUAAAGAGCUCGUAGGCGGUCUGUCGCGUCGGAUGUGAAAAUCCAGGGCUCAACCCUGGACCUGCAUUCGAUACGGGCAGACUAGAGUUCGGUAGGGGAGACUGGAAUUCCUGGUGUAGCGGUGAAAUGCGCAGAUAUCAGGAGGAACACCGAUGGCGAAGGCAGCUCGCUGGGACGGUACUGACGCUGAGACGCGAAAGCGUGGGGAGCAAACAGG
rnacentral:rRNA from 1 species